AGUGCCAUUAGCUCAGCUGGUAGAGCACCUGACUCUUAAUCAGGGUGCCCGGGGUUCGAACCCCCGAUGGCGCACCA
rnacentral:tRNA from 1 species